GGGGGCGUACCGGUUUCGACGGGGGUAGAGAAGCCCUGGUCGCGUGUCGCCGGACUUGGUAACGGCGUCAAAAACAUCCAGGAACCGAUAAGUGCGAACGACAACGCGCUUGCUCUCGCGGCGUAGAACCCGUUGAAGAGCCGUCGAUGGCUAGAGCCCGUCAGCGCUCUACCUGAGGCGUCAUCGAGCUGACUGGCCUUUGCUCACGUGGUCCGGAGCAGAGGUGAGAUUUCAGGAUCGCUAGCGGUACGGAGAGCCUGCUCGUGGGCGCUUCGUGUCGCGAAUUCAAAGCGCGAGAUACGCACGUAGACGCCAGGAUGCGGACUGCCUUCGGACGCGGGUUCGACUCCCGCCGCCUCCAUCA
rnacentral:tmRNA from 1 species